rnacentral:lncRNA from 1 species
UUCAAAUCCUGGUCCCGUGUCUCCCAUUUUUCAAGAGGGGUCCAGAACUGAUUUGUUGAAGCCCAUCCUUCAAUCUUUUGGCUAACACCAUCAUGAAUGCUAGCCAACUUGUGAUGGAAUCUAAAAGUGACUGUUAGCAGAUAGGUUUACCUGAAACUAAUCUAACUAGAUAAAUAAGAAAACAAUGUGAUUAAAAGAGACUGUAUAGUAUUUAUUUUAAUGUAACUGUUGCUUUGCAAAAUUUUUAUUAUGCCAUAAUGUUUUAUUUGAUUACACUAGUCUUAAGAAAAUGUUGAAUACAAUUUUAUUACUUUUAUAAAAAAAAAAAUAGUGAAUAUCAAGGCAAAUGGACUUCAUUUGCUAAGAUUAUAAUGUUCUGCCACUACAUUUAUGUAUUGGCAAAACAUCUACAAUCCACCAUAGAACAUUUACAGCACCACAAGUUUAUAUGCACAAAUGUACUUGGAAUGGUAACAGAACUGUGCACUACUAAAGGAUAUAAUUCCUGGAACAAUUUAAAUGUGGAAUUUUAUGAUUCAAAGCAAAUUGUUUUAAUUCUUUUAUGCUGCAACUUCAAAUAAUUUCAACUGAAAUGAUGCAAACUAGGGUCUGGUGUAGUUUAUAUGAUUCUAAAAUAUAUUUUAAUCUUCUAUAUUAAAUAAACAAUCGAACUAGAACAUAGAUGUGAAUCAUCAAAUUGAUUUUUCUAAAUAAUCUCUAACGAUGAUAGUUUAUCAUUAUAUUUUAAAUCAUUUUUCUGUUCUAAUAAUAAUUUUUAC